rnacentral:rRNA from 1 species
AUUGAACGCUGGCGGCAGGCCUAACACAUGCAAGUCGAACGAGUGGCGGACGGGUGAGUAAUGUCUGGGAAACUGCCUGAUGGAGGGGGAUAACUACUGGAAACGGUAGCUAAUACCGCAUACCAUCGGAUCGGCCCAGAUGGGAUUAGCUAGUAGGUGGGGUAAAGGCUCACCAAGGAGACGAUCCCUAGCUGGUCUGAGAGGAUGAACAGCCAAACUGGAACGGGGACACGGUCCAGACGCCUACGGGAGGCAGCAGUGGGGAAUAUUGGACAAUGGGCGCAAGCCUGAUGCAGCCAUGCCGCGUGUAUGAAGAAGGCCUUCGGGUUGUAAAGUACUUUCAGCGGGGAGGCGUUACCCGCAGAAGAAGCACCGGCUAACUCCGUGCCAGCAGCCGCGGUAAUAC